rnacentral:rRNA from 1 species
GACAGAGGGGGCAAGCGUUGCUCGGAAUCACUGGGCGUAAAGGGCGCGUAGGCGGGAUGGCAAGUCAGUCGUGAAAUCUCUCGGCUCAACCGAGAAACGUCGGCUGAUACUGCCGUUCUUGAGGGAUGCAGAGGAGACUGGAAUUCCCUGUGUAGCGGUGAAAUGUGUAGAGAUCGGGAGGAACACCGGUGGCGAAGGCGGGUCUCUGGGCAUCUCCUGACGCUGAGGCGCGAAAGCGUGGGGAGCAAACGGG